AACGAACGCUGGCGGCAGGCCUAACACAUGCAAGUCGAGCGAGGACUUCGGUCCUAGCGGCGGACGGGUGAGUAACGCGUGGGAACGUGCCCUUUGCUUCGGAAUAGCCCUGGGAAACUGGGAGUAAUACCGGAUGAGCCCUUUGGGGGAAAGAUUUAUCGGCGAAGGAUCGGCCCGCGUUGGAUUAGGUAGUUGGUGGGGUAAUGGCCUACCAAGCCGACGAUCCAUAGCUGGUUUGAGAGGAUGAUCAGCCACACUGGGACUGAGACACGGCCCAGACUCCUACGGGAGGCAGCAGUGGGGAAUCUUAGACAAUGGGGGAAACCCUGAUCGAGCCAUGCCGCGUGAGCGAUGAAGGCCGUAGGGUUGUAAAGCUCUUUCAGCUGGGAAGAUAAUGACGGUACCAGCAGAAGAAGCCCCGGCUAACUCCGUG
rnacentral:rRNA from 1 species